AAACAUGUCUUUUUGAAUUAUAUUAAAAGUCUGACCUGCCCACUGAAUAAUUUUAAAUGGCCGCAGUAUUCUGACUGUGCAAAGGUAGCAUAAUCAUUAGUCUUUUAAUUGAAGGCUGGUAUGAACGGUUGGACGAAGUAUAAACUGUUUCAUAUAAAUUUAUAAUAGAAUUUUAUAUUUUAGUUAAAAAGCUAAAAUUUUAUUAAAAGACGAGAAGACCCUAUAAAUCUUUAUAAAUAGAUUUAACUAAAUUUUUUUGAUUUGGUUUAUUUUUUUAAAACUAAUUAUUUUGUUGGGGUGAUAUUAAAAUUUAAUGAACUUUUAAUUUUUUAAAAUCAUUAAUUUAUGAAUUAUUGAUCCAUUAAUAAUGAUUAUAAGAUUAAGUUACUUUAGGGAUAACAGCGUAAUUUUUUUUGAGAGUUCAUAUCGACAAAAAAGUUUGCGACCUCGAUGUUGGAUUAAGGUAUAAUUUUGGGUGUASCUGUUCAAAAAUUAAGUCUGUUCGACUUUUAAAUCCUUACAUGAUC
rnacentral:rRNA from 1 species